rnacentral:rRNA from 1 species
CUGCAGCCCGAGUGGUGAUCGAUUUUAUUGAGCCUAAAGCGUCCGUAGCCGGACUAGUAAACCCUUGGGUAAAUUGGGCAGCUUAACUGUCCAAAUUCCGAGGGGACUGCUAGUCUUGGGACCGGGAGAGGUCAGAGGUACUCAAGGGGUAGGGGCUAAAUCCUGUAAUCCUUGGGGGACCACCAGUGGCGAAGGCGUCUGACUAGAACGGAUUCGACGGUAAGGGACGAAGCCCUGGGGCGCAAACCGGAUUAGAUACCCGAGUAGUCC